GGAGCAGGCCUGUCUGUGCACCCAUUCAUGCAACAGUCGCGUGGGCUUUCAACACAUUGGUUAUUGGACUUGUUGAGAGAGAGAACCACUAGGAGCCCUGUGAGGAGGGAAUGGCGCCUUUGGAGCUGGCAGCUGGGAGAUAGUUCAUCUGAGGUUCCCGUGAAAGGCCAGAUUUGCAGGAUGCAGAAAAUGAGGUGUCCAUAUAGCACCUGCUGUGGUCAGGAGGUGAGGUGUGUGCAGCCCCUGUGUGGUCGGGAGGUGAGGUGUGUGUGCAGCACCUGUGUGGUCAGGAGGUGAGGUGUGUGUGCAGCCCCUGUGUGGUCGGGAGGUGAGGUGUGUGUGCAGCACCUGUGUGGUCAGGAGGUGAGGUGUGUGUGCAGCCCCUGUGUGGUCGGGAGGUGAGGUGUGUGUGCAGCACCUGUGCGGUCGGGAGGUGAGGUGUGUGUGCAGCACCUGUGCGGUCGGGAGGUGAGG